AAAUAGAAUAAUGCAUUUAUGUAAUUAGAAUGUCUUUUUGUUGCUCUGAAGAAAUUGGGUUGCUCUAUGAUAGUUUUCUGUUUCUUCCCUGUGCAGAAAGUAGGAACCUUCGUGAUAGUUUUCCGUGUAGUAAUGAAGGCUGUGAUGGAGGAGGCAGAAAAUGUGGCGACAUCUAGGGAAAGGUUGGCAGAAGUGCCUCUGUCAGAAACACCUCCCACUGCAACUGUGGCCACUUCAGCCCAGUCCCUUUGUCCAGAGCAGUGCUGGUGGCAUAUUGCUGUGACCCCAUUGCACCAGUCACCCCCCAGGAUGCACUUCCCCAGGGAUGGAUCCUGGUCCCUGUGCUGUGUCAGCCAGGAGAGGAGAAGGACAGACCCCUGCUGUCACCAAGGACACCCCAAAUCUCUCCUGAGCCUCGUCCAAAAAGAUAUCUUGCACAGAGGAAUAAUUGUGCUAUAUUCUGAAGGGAAUGAAUGACAGAGUAUCUAAGAUCAUACAUCUAAGUCUCCGUGAUGUGGAAACUCCAGUAUGGACUGUAAUCCAAGAUCAGGAAGGAGACAAUGCAUUGCCAUGUGAAACACAACGCAGAUCAAAAUAAGUUUUCAGUGUGCCACCAAAACCACAGUAUUAGGUUUCUGUUAAGGAGAAUGAGUAAUACCAUUCUAGCUGUAAAGGUUGCUGUGAGUGGGUAAUAAUUCCAUCUAACUGAUAGAGCAGAUUGUGUAUUCUGCAAGUAAAUAAAUAAUCCCAGGCAAAAUCUUUCCCUAUUUCU
rnacentral:lncRNA from 1 species